AAUUGAAAUAUCCAUGCCUUUCAUUCUUUGUAUCUUAAAAUAAAACAAAAGCAAUACUCAAAUUCUAAAAUUCAUUAAAAAUUUCUAUCAAGAGGAAAUUAUUUAAAACAAGAAAAUGUGGGAAUAUAUGCUGAAACUUGCAAGUCUAAUAAGAAGGAUUACAAGGUAGAAAUGAAUUCUAAUUGAACCAGUGAUUUACCGGUGAUGAUUUUCCUACUUUUUUUUCUGAUACAUCGCUGAUUAUUCAGAGUUCAUCACCAUUUUUGUAUUGUAUUUUACCAAAACAAUUUAUUUUUUUUAUAUUAGUAGUGUAGUGAUAUUAGUUUAAUUUAUGUAAAUAAAGAUUUAGUUUGAAUUUAGAGUUUAAAAAUAAAUACGAAAAUUCAAAAAGGUACUGCAAAAAUAUUGCUUUCUACCAAGGUUUUUCGAUUACUCAAAGGACAAUUUGGUUUCGCCAAGACACUGUUCUUCUCUGGUGUUGGUGUUGUUGGGUUGAUGGGUUCAGCCGUGCCUCAUUACCACAGCUGUUUCUCCCCGUCACCAGCUCCGCCUAGGGUUCCACCUCUGCCUUCAAGAAACUCUGCCAUCUAUGUAAUGUGUCUAGAUUGAAGUGUGUAUGGUCUGAAACAACUUCCAAACCCAUGAGAACUGGCAAUUUUCGAUUUGCAAUUGAUUCUGUCCGUCAUUCGUGUUCAUCUUACUUAUUCUUCAAUGGGGAAGAACAAAGAAAAGAGUUUGGAAUUGCCGGUAAUAGUGGAUCAUCCAAGAUAUGUACUUACAGGAGAAAUUCAUUUAACACAAGGAAAUUGCCCAACACCCUUAAAGAUGUUAAUGUGUUGUAAGUUUUCGCUUGUGAAAACUACUACAUGUUCAUUCAACAAAAGAUUGAAUUGUCUGUAUAAAAACGAAAAGUAAAUUAUAUGAUUUGCAGAAUUUAUGUUGCACAAUUGGCAACACAAGGGAAGCUCUUGCUUUGGUUUCAUUGUAGUUUUAGAAACUGUGGGUUGAUAUUUGAUUACUGGUUAUGCAUAUUCUAUUUUGACUCUGUCAAAGAAAACUAGGUGCCGCUGCCAGUUACUGGUUCUUCCAAGCACCUGCAGUUGGUACAUCAGGCACAAUAUUUAGAUUAGUAAGUCGCCUCAAACUUAUUCGCAAAAUAAGAUUAAUGUUCAUAAGAACCUCUUCCAACUAAUGAAUCUCUGCCUUGAAAAUUUAGGUUUUCUUUUUUCAUUUUCUUUUGAAAUAGAUUUUUUGCUUUUAUUGCCUGUCUUUGUCUCAUUUGACAUUCUCUUGGUAGUCUAGGUUGGUUCUGUUGCUGUGUUUGUAGCUAGAUAUAUAGGUAUGAUCAGAGAUGCCAAAGAAGAUCUGCAACACAGCACAAGUUAUUUCCACAAACCCAGUAUGAUUCUAAGUUUUCGCUACUCUUAUGUUUGAGAACCUAAAACCAUAUAAUUACCUAUCAAAAAACCCGUCUCAUGCAUACCAAAUGCAGUCCCUAGAGUUAGUUUCUGCUAUGUUACUGCUUGAUACAAUGAUUUCCUUGAAGAAAAUCGUAGUAUCUAGUAAUCCUCCAGCCUACUUUCAUAGUGCAUCAAAUGCUUUUGCUCUUAAAUUUCCGAGCUCAGAGGUAAUGAAUGUUGAUCAUGCAGGUUAUUAGGCUAAUGUCAAUUGGCACCAAUAAAUGUGGUUAUGUAAGUCUUAACUACCAUGCCUUCUUGUACGUUACUUAUAGUAUACCCGUAUUUAAAGUAACGGUUUUCUAUCAUAAAAAUCUCCUUAUACUUCAUUAAUACAGACAUUUACAGUUUUACUUCCAAGAUUGUUUCAUAUCUUAACUUACAAUUUCAGAUAGGAGGCUUGAUUUGAGGAGCCGCAGUUUACUGGUCUGUAGGACCUGCUUGGAAGUAUGAAUCUAUGGCCAGCAAUGGCCAUAGAAUAUUCUCAGACUGAAAACCAUUUUUUACCUUACUGACAGAAAGCUGAAACUUCAAUGAACAACUGGAGGCUCAAGUGGUAUCAUACUUGAAAGUAGAUUGCCUAUAUGUCUUAGGUUGGUGCUUCAAGCCUCCUCACACAUAAAUGAUUUCCAUAAUUAAUGUUAGACACUAUACUGGCACCUCUCCAGUGAGUUUUGCAGGUCAUAUCUCCGUCAACUGAGGUGCUCUCGACUCUACGAACCCACGCCUACGGCAGGCCUCUUAAAGCAGUCGGCUCUCAGCAAAUUCAGAAGGAUAAAACUCUGCCACUGGAAGAAUGCCUUACAUUGUUAGGGGUUCAAUUGCCUCAUUGACCAAAAGAGAGAUUUGGAGGUUGGCCACAUCUUCUCUUUUGCAUGCUAAUAUUGGACGCCGUAUGGUCAAUUGUUAUUCUUUGAAUUCUGAUGGACCUACGAUGGAGAAUUUAAGCGGUCCAAGGAGAUUCCUUGUAGUUUAGUUCACCUCUGCUCUUUCAAGUAACAACUCUUAAACUCAUUACAGUACCUUAUAAAUUGCCGGUUGUGCAAAGCACCUGCUGUUGGUGCAUUAGGUGCAAUCUUUGGAUAAGUAAGUCAUCUUGAACUUAUUCACAAAAUAAGAUUAAUGUUGAUAAGAACCUGUUCCAACUAAUGAUUGGCCGCUUUUUAAAUCUAGGUUUUCUUUCUUUUUUGCUUGGGAAAUUGAUUGUUUGCUUUUAUCGCUGGUCUUUUUCUCAUUUGACAAUCUCUUGGCUGUUUAAGUUUGUUUUGUUGCUGUGUUUGUCUUGAGACAGAGGUAGAUCAGAGAUCCCAAACACUUUAUGAUUCAAAGCUUUCGCAAUUCAAUGUUUGAGAUUCGGAGGAACCAUAUAAAGACAUGUCAAUAAACCCAUCUCAUAUAUGCCAAAUACAGUCCCUAGAUUUGAUGCCUUAGUAAGUCUGAUAUAUUCAAGUUUCUCUUAUGUUACUGGUGUGAUACAAUGAGUACCCGGAAAAAAGGUGUAGUCUCUACCGUCCUCAAGCGGACUUUUCUUAACGCAUCAAAUGCUUUUGCACCUGCAUUUCAGAGAUAUAAUUAACUUGAAGCCCAAUUAAGCCCGGUUUGACAGAGAGGAGUUGGCAUUUUCUAAUCCUAGAGAGGGCUUGUUGCGACCCCCUAUAGUGCACUCAUUAUGGGAGUUGUAUUUUUCUUUUUAAAAUAUUAUUAUUUUAUUACUUCCUUUUCUAUUGAGACUCAUCUUAUUUUUUCUAUGAGUAUGAUAUUGAGGGCUAAGUCAAAAUAUAGAAAGAUUA